rnacentral:rRNA from 1 species
UACAGAGGUCUCAAGCGUUGUUCGGAUUCAUUGGGCGUAAAGGGUGCGUAGGUGGCGGGGUAAGUCUGGUGUGAAAUCUCGGGGCUCAACCCCGAAACUGCACUGGAUACUGCCUUGCUAGAGUACUGGAGAGGAGAUUGGAAUUUACGGUGUAGCAGUGAAAUGCGUAGAUAUCGUAAGGAAGACCAGUGGCGAAGGCGGCAUCCUGGACCGGUAUUGACGCUGAGGCGCGAAAGCCAGGGGAGCAAACGGG